rnacentral:misc_RNA from 1 species
UUACGCCCUUUGAUAAACAGGAGAGAAAAAAGCUGAACGAGGCCCUCACUUCGACGACUUUGUAAUCCUUAGCGCAUCAUAGCUCGAAAGGAGAGACCGGAGCACGACGUGUUGGCGACUCUUCCUUUCUUCCCGUUAAUUCAAGAAAGAAAAUAAGAAAGGCGCUCCACAGACUCCUCGACCCCCUCUACUACUAGUACUAUCGCUCACACCACAGACGCGUCUGUUCGCCAUGCUCCGCCGCCGUGCCGUCUCGAAGCUGGCCACGCCAGCUGCCCUUCGCUUCCUCACCAUCACCCCGAUUCCCAUGCCCGCGCUCUCCCCCACUAUGGAGAAGGGCAAGAUCACGGAGUGGUGCAAGCAGCCGGGUGACGUCAUUCGCCCCGGCGACACCUUCUGCAACGUCGAGACCGAUAAGGCUAUCGUGUCGUACGAUAAUGCAACUGAAGAGGGCUUCUUCGCCCGCGUCAUCACCUCUGCUGGCGAGGAGACGGCCGUGGGUCAGACAGUGUGCCUCAUCGUCGACGAGAAGGAGGGUGUCCACUCCGACGAGGUCAAGAACUGGAAGCCUGAGGCAGAGGAGGCGCCAGCUGCGGCUGCCGAGGAGGCUCCUGCUGCCCCUGCCGCUGCAACCCCUGUGGCUGCUGCCCCUGUGGCGGUGUCUGGUGACCGCGUGAAGGCAUCGCCGUACGCUCGCAAGAUGGCUGCGGAGAAGAACGUGUCAUUGAGCGGCAUCAAGGGCACCGGUGGUGGUGUGGGUCGCAUCACGUCCAAGGACGUGGCGGCUGCCGUGGCAAGCGGCACUGCCAGCUCGGCUGCAGAGGUGGCUGCACCUGCCAAGACUGCUGCUGCUGCGGCACUGGCUGCCCCCGCGAAGCCCGCGGCAGCCAAGGGAACGCCUCCAGCGAACCCCAACUUCAUCGACAUUCCGGUGACGACGAUGCGAUCUGUCAUCGCGAAGCGCCUGCACCAGUCCAAGAACCUGGAAAUUCCGCACUACUACCUCUUCGACGACUGCCGCGUCGACAACAUGCUGGCCCUCAUCAAGCAGCUGAACGCGAAAGGUAAUGGCGAGUACAAGAUCACCGUGAACGACUACAUCGUCAAGGCUGUUGCGCGCGCCAACAUUCUGGUGCCGGAGGUGAACUCCUCCUGGCAGGGCGACUUCAUCCGUCAGUACGCCACCGUUGACGUCUCGGUGGCUGUGGCCACGCCGACUGGCCUCAUUACCCCGAUCAUCCGCAACGCGCAGGCGAAGGGUCUCGUAGAAAUAUCGAAAGAGACAAAGGCUCUAGCGAAGAAGGCGCGCGACGGUACGCUGCAGCCCAGUGAGUUCCAGGGUGGCACGUGCUCCGUGUCGAACCUCGGUGCCACGGGCAUCCCCGGCUUCACAGCCAUCAUCAAUCCCCCGCAGGCGAUGAUUCUCGCCGUCGGCUCCGCCAAGCCGCGCGCUGAGAUUGUAAAGAGCGAGGAGACGGGCGAGUUCGAGAUGACCGGCAGAGUAGAGAACGUCGUGAACUUUUCGGCGUCCUUUGACCACCGCAUCGUCGAUGGCGCGCUCGGCGCCAAGUGGUUCCAGCACUUCCAUGACGCCAUGGAGAACCCGCUGUCACUUCUGCUGUAGGAGCAGACGCCCAGCUGGUAGAUGUAGCCAUGAUGGAAUUUGGGCGGUGUGAUGCCUCCACCGCCUAUCUCGACCACUGUUGUUUUCUUUGACCAGUCUCCCUAAUGGGCUUUGAUGUGGAAAGGAGGUGUUUGUCUGGGUGUCUGUGCUCCUGUGUGUAAAUGGCAGACAGAAGGAGAUGCGUUCAGUGCAAGGACAAGCAAAGGAGACGAAGUGAAGGGUGAUCUUCACCUCCUCUCCCCCUCGUUUUCAUCUUCUCCGUCUGUAGGUGGUGCUGGAGGGAGGGAGGGAGGGAGGGAGGAGGGGGUAGGGAGGGAGCAAGUGGGAGAUCGAGGGAAUUCUCUGCGAGGGGAGACCUACCGACUUCAAAAGACUUCGUUCUCUCCCCUCCCGUUGUGUUUUUGUUCGUUAUCCCUCCCUCGUUUUCAUGUCGUUGAGUAUUAAAAGCGUUUCUGUUUUUAUCAUCUUUUGUUUUGUUGGUUUGUUCGUUUUUAUCAUGCCUUGCGCGCUUGCAGCUGCGUAGCGUCGUCUUCCCGGUCUCGCCCAUUCUCGAUGUCUCCACUGGCGCUGCUAUGUUGUAGAGAAUAUCCUGCUUCUUCCUCUCUCUCGGCGCGUGGGGGGGGAGGGAAGUGCACACAUCGCUCGUGGAGCAGCGCUGCGUCAAACACACAAAAGCCUUGGUGGAAAGGACGAGAUGAGGGACUCCAAGUGUACGCAUGUAUGCGUCUAGGCGAAGGCGUUGAUGCUAAAGAGUCUCGAAGCCGAGACGGCUGUGCUUGAGUAGUGGUCGUCAUCCCACCGUUGCGAUUGUCUGUCUGUUUUGUGAGCCGAGAUUCUCUUCCAUAGAAGCAUUGCAGGUUGUCGGCGCGCGCAUUCGAGCAUUCGAAAACAGCAACAACAACAAAGGCUGUGAGAAGAAGCACAACAGAACCGCAACGAAAAAAAAGGUGAAUAAUCGAACGAUAGAUUCUUCCCCUUCCCUGGCAGACCACAUGCAUCCAGUCUCACCGAUGAUUGCAUCCCUGUACAUGCACACACACACACACACACACACAGUUCGCACCAAGAACAACAACUAAACAAGCAGACACACACGCACGGACAGACGGGAUGAACACAGGCAUAACGCAUCUUCUCACUUUGUUUUAGUAGUGGUCUGUUUAUAUAUAUAUAUAUAUAUAUAAUAUUUGUUUGUGUUACUUUAUAUUCAAACAUCUUCGCCUAGCGCUUUCUCUCUACUUCAACGCACUCAUACACACAAAGAAGGUGCUUUUGCAGUUGUGCCCAACUCUUCUCCCCAGACACAGCCCGCCCUCUCGAAAAGUGCACACGGACACAAAUACAAGGGGUAGAGAGAGAAGCAUGCGAUGACCACAACGAAGCUGGCGCUCGAGACGGGUGCAGUGCUGAUCUGAAGGGAGGAGAGGGUUUGGCUUUCCUUCUCUUUUCUUUUGUUAUUUGUUCUUUCCCCUAUAGGUGUGCGUGUGUCGUUGUGUGUCCGCACUUCGGUAGAGGAUGCCUGUAUGCUGAUGCCGAGGGGAUUGUGGGACGGAGCUAAGCGUGCAACAACAAAAGUCAGAUCAUUGGUUCAGCGUGCACUGCCGCGACACGGUAACACGCAAGCUCGAACGGUUAACGGUCAAUGGAAUGAGUGAGAGGAAUGCGUGUAUGCGUAGGAGUCGUGCACGAGGGAGGCUGCAUGAUUCGAUGAAAACUAUCGGCUUAGGGAAGGGAGCACUUAUUCUAGAGACCGUUUUCUCAUACACGUCCGCAGCGGGGUGAGGCUGCAUUGCCUUCAUUUCGCAGCGCUGUUUGAUGAGUGAAAAGUUCUUCAACUCCAGCGAUGCCACAAAAGCCUCUCGGUGCCUGAUUCUUACCCUUCGCGC